rnacentral:lncRNA from 1 species
AAAAAAAUUGCAGGAUAAAAUCUCAGCCCUAAAAUGACAAAUAGAAUUAGAGGAAGAAGAUCAGGACUUAUUUAAUCAGCUACAAGAAUUAAAAUUCCCUGUAUUAGAGAUCACAGAUGCUCAAGUGGUUACUUGGAGACAUCACACAAGUUUCAAUUCCCAAACCAUUAAAGAAUUAAAAAAAUGCAGUGUCACUGUAUGGUGUCACUGCUCCUUUUACUCUUGCAAUCCUGGAACUGAUAUUCUGAUUUUCUGGUUUUAUUCAUUGACUGAUGACAACAGCAGGGAGGAUUUUUGGUAAUGCAGAGGCUGGGGUAGACUAUGUGAAACAGAUUAAGUUUGAAAAUGUCAAUCCUGCCUGCCAAGCAGCCAUUAGACCCUACAGAAAGAAGACAUGCCUCACUGGGUACAUCUUACUCUGUUCUAACAAAGGGACCUCUUAACAACAGGGCUCAGCUAUGGUGGCUCCCAUGAAAGCCACUGAUUGAUAGCCAUACAAUCAGUAAGAGACUUCUUGGAAAGUAGAGACAAAAAGGCCUGUUUUAAGUGUGGCAAGCCUAGACAUUUUGCAAAAGAUUGCAGGGUAGGAAACCAGUCACCUCUGAGAUGGCCCAGGAAUCAGCCUGAGCUAUGUAUGGGUUCCAAACUCGGAAAACAAUGGGCUAAUAAGUGUAGAUCCAAGACAGAAAAACAAGGGAAGACCCUUUUUCCUAAUAAGGGAAAUGGGAGCAGGGGCCAGCCCCAGGCCCCGAACCAACACAAGCCCAAACAGGUUUAUGGGGUGGUCAGCUUCUUGCCAGCAAGCAACAACAACCCCUUUAAGAACUUAAUCUAGCUACCCCAGAAAUGGCAGGACUGGACCUCAGUUCCACCAUCCACACAGUACCAACCACAUCAAUGGGAUCUCAGUCCCUACCCACUGAAGCGUUGGACUGCUCUAUUCAAAUGUGUUUGGCCUGAGAGUAGGAUUAAGCAGUGCUACCAUGCAGGGACUACAGAUUUUCCUGGUGUUAUAGACAAUGAUUAUCAAGGAGAGAUUAAGGUAAUGGCCAAGACAAUAUAUAAUAUAGUCACCAUCCCCACAAGAAGAAGGAUUGCUCAACUAUUGUUACUUCCAUUGCUUCUUAGUAAUCACAAAUAUGAGUCCUAAGAGAGGAGAUCAAGGCUUUGGUUCCUCUGAUGCAUACUGAGUGCAACCUAUAAAUAACAAAAACCUGUGAUGACAAUAUGGCUUGAUAGAAAGGCAUUCAGAGGCUUGGUUGAUAAAGGGGCCAAUGUGACUAUUAUAAACCAAAGUGAUUGUCCCUCUACCUGGCCUCUGACACCAACCUUGAAAAAUCUAAGGAUUAUUGGUCAAAGUCAAAAUCCACAACAGAGUUCUAAGGUGCAGAAGUGAAAAGAUAAAGAAGGAAAUACGGGAAAUAUACAACCAUAUGUUAUCCUUGGCCUUCUCAUUAAUCUCUGGGAAAGAGAUCUGUUAUCCCAGUUAGCAUGUGUACCCACCAUGAUGUAAUCAUGGCUCAGAUGAAAACUCUAGGUUUUCCCCAGGGAAAGGUUUAGGAAAAAAAUGAAGAUGGGAUUACCUAUCCCAUUGAGGCCCAUGGCAACACUGGAAAGAUCAAGCUUGGAGUAUUUUUGAUGGGAGCUGUUGAUUCAUCUGCACCCUCAUGGCAUUGUGCCGAUCCCAUCACCUGGAAGGGAGACUCGCCCAUCUGGGUGGAUCAGUGGACCCUCACCACCAAAAAAUUACAAGCUGCCCAAUUACUAGUGCAGGAGCAAAUAUAGGCAGGGCAUUUGGAACAGAGUAACUCUCCCUGGAAUAACCCAAUAUUUGUCAUCAAAAAAAAAAAAAAUCAGGAAAGUGGAGAUUGUUACAGGACUUGAGGGCUGUUAAUGUGACAAUGACCCUGAUGGAAGCCUUGUAACCUCGGAUGCCCACACCUGUGCCAAUAACUUUGGGCUACUAUAAAAUAGUUAUGGAUUUAAAAGAUUAUUUCUUUACCAUCCUCUUGCAUCUUGAAGACAGAAAGUGCUUUGCUUUUAGUGUUCCUGCUGUAAACUUUAGAGGACCUAUGAAAAGACAUCAGUGGAAGGUAUUACCUCUGGGUAUGGCUAAUAGCCCUACCUUGUGCCAAAAAUUUGUGACCUCCAACAUAGAUGAUGUUAGAACCAUGUGGAAAUAAAUCUACGUGAUUCAUUACGUGGAUCAUAUCUUAAUAGCAGGAAAAGAUGGAAGUCAGGUAUUCCAGUGUUUUGAUGAUCCUAAAACAGCUUUUCAGACUGCAGGGUUACAAAUAGCUAUAGCUACAGAAUAGGUACAGUUACAAGAUCCCUAUACUUGUUUAGGAUUUCAGAUUAUUGGCCCACAUAUUAUUUAUUAUUAAUGGCCACUUUUAGAACUGAUUCCCUUGAAAUGCUUAAUGAUUUUCAAAAACUAUUGGGAGAUAUCAAUUCGAUAUGUCCAUAUUUAAAACUUAUUAGAGAAGAUUUGAAGCCUCAGUUUGCUAUUUUCAAGGGAGAUGCUGACCCUAAGUCUGACCAGACCCUAACAGAGGAGGGUCAGAAAGUUUGCAGAAGAUUGAAAGUGCUAUUUCAUCCCAAUUUGUAACUCAUAUUAAUUAUUCUAAGCCUUUAUAUUUUCUGAUUUUUAACACCAAAUUUAUUCCUACUGCAGAGUUUUUUGUUUUUUUGUUUUUGUUGUUUUUUUUUUUGUUAUUUUUUGUUUUUUAUUUUAUUUUAUUUGGCAAACAGCACACAUAUUUUGGGCUCAUCUUUUCUCAUAUCCUAAGAAGGUCCUUUAUUCAUACUAUGUGGCUGUAGCUGAUAUUAUUAUAUUAGGCAGAGAUAAUAGUCAGAAAUAUUUGGAAAAGUCUGUGAUGCCAUAGUGCAACCCUAUAUAAGGCAUCAGGUUGAUUGGCUUAUGCAAAAUUCUGAACUUUGGCCUAUCACAUGUGCCUCCUUUGCUGGACAGCUUGAUAAUCAUUAUCUGCCAGACAAAUUGGUUCAGUUUUGUAAUCGCCAUGAAUUCAUUUUUCCAUCUUGCACCACACAUGCACCUAUAGAAGAAGCAGUGCUAGUUUUCCCUGAUGUUUCCUCAUCAGGAACAGCUGUUUAUGCCUUUAAUGGUCAAGUAAUCUCCUUUGCUACAUCGUCAAUGUCAGACCAAUUGGUUGAAUUGCAUGCUGUUAUUGCUGUGUUCCAAGCGUUUCUGAAUCAAGCCAUUAAUAAUUACACAGAUGCUCAUAUUUAGCUCAGUCUGCCCCUCUGCUAGAAAUAGCUGUGCAAAUAAAAUAUUCCCCAGAAGCAGCUGAUCUCUUUUUAAAGUGCCAACAAUUAAUUUUGAGGAGAAAGUAUAAAUUUUUAUAGGACAUCUGAGAGCCCACAACAGACUACCAGGUUCCAUCUCUGAGGAAAAUACCAAAGCAGAUCUAGCCACUCAUGUAACUUUGGUGACUUCAUCAGAUCCACCAGCUAACCUGGAUAAGACCAUAAGAGUCCAUGAGUUAUAUCACUUCAAUUCCCAAACAUUGAAGAUCAUGUUUAAAAUUACCAGAGAACAAGCUAGGUAAAUUGUCAAA